AGGCCCCGUGGUGCUAAGCAUAUUGAAUUGCAAGUUCAAAGUAGCAGCUUCAAUCCUGCCGGGGCUUC
rnacentral:tRNA from 1 species